rnacentral:tRNA from 1 species
GGCACCGUAGCUUAAUUGGUAGAGCACUGGCUUUAGGUCGGGAGGUGCGGGUUUGAAUCCCGCCGGUGUCG